rnacentral:rRNA from 1 species
GUUUGAUCCUGGCUCAGAACGAACGCUAGCGGGACGCCUCAAGCAUGCAAGUCGUACGCGAAAGCCCUUCGGGGUGNGUAGAGUGGCGCACGGGUGNGUAACACGUAGCUAAUCUACCUCUUCGCUGGGGACGNCUCCGGGAAACCGGAGCUAAUACCGAAUGGUCUAAUUUAAUCUGCGGNUUUUAUUGGUAAAGCCUUCGGGCGCGAAGNGAUGAGGCUGCGGCGCAUUAGCUUGAUGGUGGGGUAAAAGCCUACCAUGGCGACGNUGCGUAGCUGGUCUGAGAGGAUGAUCAGUCACACUGGAACUGAAACACGGUCCAGNCUCCCACGGGAGGCAGCAGUUGGGAAUAUUGGACAAUGGGGGAAACCCUGAUCCAGCAAUCCCGCGUGAGGGAUGAAGGUCUUCGGAUCGUAAACCUCUUUCGACAGGGAAGAAGGUAAGCUUGCUUACUUGACGGUACCUGUAGAAGAAGCACCGGCUAACUACGUGCCAGCAGCCGCGGUAAUAAGGGCGAAUU